rnacentral:rRNA from 1 species
UACGUAGGUGGCAAGCGUUGUCCGGAAUUAUUGGGCGUAAAGCGCGCGCAGGUGGUUUCUUAAGUCUGAUGUGAAAGCCCACGGCUCAACCGUGGAGGGUCAUUGGAAACUGGGGAACUUGAGUGCAGAAGAGGAAAGUGGAAUUCCAAGUGUAGCGGUGAAAUGCGUAGAGAUUUGGAGGAACACCAGUGGCGAAGGCGACUUUCUGGUCUGUAACUGACACUGAG